rnacentral:rRNA from 1 species
AAAUUGAAGAGUUUGAUCAUGGCUCAGAUUGAACGCUGGCGGCAGGCCUAACACAUGCAAGUCGAACGGUAACAGGAAACAGCUUGCUGUUUCGCUGACGAGUGGCGGACGGGUGAGUAAUGUCUGGGAAACUGCCUGAUGGAGGGGGAUAACUACUGGAAACGGUAGCUAAUACCGCAUAAUGUCGCAAGACCAAAGAGGGGGACCUUCGGGCCUCUUGCCAUCGGAUGUGCCCAGAUGGGAUUAGCUAGUAGGUGGGGUAACGGCUCACCUAGGCGACGAUCCCUAGCUGGUCUGAGAGGAUGACCAGCCACACUGGAACUGAGACACGGUCCAGACUCCUACGGGAGGCAGCAGUGGGGAAUAUUGCACAAUGGGCGCAAGCCUGAUGCAGCCAUGCCGCGUGUAUGAAGAAGGCCUUCGGGUUGUAAAGUACUUUCAGCGGGGAGGAAGGGAGU